rnacentral:rRNA from 1 species
AGAGUGAACGCUGGCGGCAGGCCUAACACAUGCAAGUCGAACGGCAGCACAGAGGAGCUUGCUCCUUGGGUGGCGAGUGGCGGACGGGUGAGGAAUACGUCGGAAUCUGCCUAUUUGUGGGGGAUAACGUAGGGAAACUUACGCUAAUACCGCAUACGACCUACGGGUGAAAGCGGAGGACCUUCGGGCUUCGCGCAGAUAGAUGAGCCGACGUCGGAUUAGCUAGUUGGCGGGGUAAAGGCCCACCAAGGCGACGAUCCGUAGCUGGUCUGAGAGGAUGAUCAGCCACACUGGAACUGAGACACGGUCCAGACUCCGUACGGGAGCAGCAGUAGGGAAUA